GCCCCGCGCGGCGCCGCUAACCUGUGCUUACCGAGCGCCUGCUGUCUAUCGGCUCCUUCGCGACCUCCUCCGCCUGCAGAGCAUCUCCGGCCGGGGCCUUGGGCGAGUGACCGAGCCUCUCCUGGGUUGUCCCCAGGUUUGUCGGAGAGGGUGGUGACUUCACCUUGCAGGCAGGUGCGAAGCUCCCCGUGAGAUGCCCACUGCAUAGCGAGCGCUCGCGAUCCUUGCUCUUUGUAUCCAUGGCUUUUCCUUAACGGAGGUAAUCUGUACGUAACAGGGUUGACCAUCUUAGCCGUUUUUAAGUGUACAGAUCAGCGGCGGGAAGUACGUUCACGCUAUUCCGCAGCCUCCGCCACCAUCCACAGGACGUUUCCACCAGUGAUGGUUUCACAGCGGACUGCCUUCCGAGGGGAGGCUCUGUCUUCACUCUCUUCUUGCCCAGCAGUCAGUCACUAGGGAGUCUCCACCUGCUGAGUCCUGAGACACAGAAGGGCCCUGCCCUCCCCGAGCUUUUAGCAGACGAGGUGGCAGAGGCCCAGAGAAGUGAACCAACUAUCCAAAGACGCACAGCGGUGUAAGAGGCAGAGUCAGGACCAGAAGCAAAGGCGGGGCUCCAGAACCAGCAAUGGCCUCCGCUCCAGCCCCCCCAGCCCAGAGGGAUCUGUGAGCAGGCCGGCGCCGCCCCGGAGAGGACCUUCAUCUCCCCCUCUUCUAGGCCCUGGCUGCCUUCAGGCUGCUGGACCCCAGCUGUCUGUCUGUCUCCACAGCAACUUGACCGGCCAUGGGCCACCUUCGGGGACCCCGGACCCCCGUGCACAGGCAGCAGCCUCCCCAGGCUGACAGCCAGGCUCGGUGUCCGUGUUUUCGUCUUAGCUAUCCCAGCGUCCCAUGCUGCCUGCAACUCUUUCUGGUUUCAUAACCAGCGUGGCCACAGAGAAAAGAGAAAAGUAACUGUGGCUUGGCCAGGAAAUGUCAACUGCCUGUGAUAGAGGCAUCAGGGAGAUUCUGAGUGCUCCUGGGUGCUGGAUGGGUGUGAGCACCAGUGAGGGGAAAUAAAACAAAGCAGAGGCGUGA